rnacentral:rRNA from 1 species
AUUGAACGCUGGCGGCAUGCCUUACACAUGCAAGUCGAACGGCAGCACGGGUGCUUGCACCUGGUGGCGAGUGGCGAACGGGUGAGUAAUACAUCGGAACGUACCUUAUCGUGGGGGAUAACGCAGCGAAAGCUGUGCUAAUACUGCAUACGCCCUGAGGGGGAAAGCGGGGGAUCGAAAGACCUCGCGCAAUUAGAGCGGCCGAUGCCUGAUUAGCUUGUUGGUGGGGUAAAAGCCCACCAAGGCGACGAUCAGUAGCUGGUCUGAGAGGACGAUCAGCCACACUGGGACUGAGACACGGCCCAGACUCCUACGGGAGGCAGCAGUGGGGAAUUUUGGACAAUGGGGGCAACCCUGAUCCAGCAAUGCCGCGUGAGUGAAGAAGGCCUUCGGGUUGUAAAGCUCUUUUGUCAGGGAAGAAACACCGGCUCUAACACAGUCCGGGAAUGACGGUACCUGAAGAAUAAGCACCGGCUAACUACGUGCCAGCCGCCGCAGUAA